GUUCGAGGAGCUAUGCCUGGUAUGUAAUGAUCUAUCAAGUGGAUAUCAUUAUGGAGUUCCAUCUUGUAAUGGAUGCAAAACGUUCUUCCGCCGAACAAUAAUGAAAAAACAGCUCUUCGUCUGUCAACACGAGAAAAAUUGUCCAGUUGACAAAAGUAUCCGAUGUGCGUGCCGUUUUUGUCGAUUCGAAAAAUGUAUUCAAGUUGGAAUGGAUAAAUCUGCACUACAAGCAUCAAGAGAUCGGAUUGGAUACACAAAAAGAACGAGAAAACCUAAAACGAAAGAUGUAUCAUUUAGUAGUUCAAGUGAAAUGUCUCCAGGAAGUUAUUUUGCUGAAUCUCCUGGAUAUGCUCAAAAAGCAUUUGAAACAUAUUGGAGCUAUGUAGUCAGUAGAGAAAAAGCAUCUAAUGAAAUGCGUCUGUCAGAUUAUCUACCAAAGAGAAGUUUGAAAGAAGCCCUGUGCUCAAAAAGUUUAUUAAAUGAUCCGAUAUUUUUAAGCAAGUAUGCUCUUCCAAGCUCCAAACAUACUUAUACAUCAUUGAGGUUUAUUACACAAACUGACUAUCAUUAUUGGCACGAGAGAGACUGGUUUGUGCUGACGGAAUAUGCAAAAACGUUUAAAAUUUUUGAAGCCCUUUCGUAUGCUGACAAGGCUGAAUUAGUACGGCACUCUGCAAUCACUUUACCAGCUUUAAACCAAGUUUACAACUCUCCAGACCAUGGGCUGGAUACUGUUGUAUUUCCAGAUGGAACAUAUUAUGAUAGAACACAUGAACCAACCAGACCUUCUGGAUUGAACAGGAAAAAAUAUCAGGUUCUUGAUUUAGUUUUGAAACCAUUCAGAGAAAUUGAUAUAAAUUUCAAUGAAUUUGCUGCGUUCAAAGCAAUCACGUUUUUGAAUCCAGACGCUGAUGUUUCUCUCCAAGCAAAGUUGGCAAUAAAUGAGGAACGAAUAUCUGUAACUAAACAACUUUAUGACUAUAUGGUGAGAAACGAUGGAAUUGAAAAAGCUAUAAAAAGAUUUAGCCGUCUAAUUCUCAUUGGAACUUCGAUGUCGAAAAUGGCUUGUGAAUCGAAAGAAGCUGUUUGGAUCGCUGAUUUCUUUGAAAAUAUUGGAUAUACUAGUUUUGCAAAAGAACUUUUCUUUGGCGAUUAUGAUUCAGAUGUAUAA
rnacentral:misc_RNA from 1 species